UACAGGGGGCGCAAACGUUGCUCGGAAUUAUUGGGCGUAAAGCGCGCGUAGGCGGCCGCUUAAGUCGGAUGUGAAAGCCCCUGGCUCAACUGGGGAAGUGCACCCGAAACUGAGUGGCUUGAGUACUAAAGAGGGUCGCGGAAUUCCCGGUGUAGAGGUGAAAUUCGUAGAUAUCGGGAGGAACACCGGUGGCGAAGGCGGCGACCUGGGUAGAUACUGACGCUGAGGCGCGAAAGCGUGGGGAGCAAACAGG
rnacentral:rRNA from 1 species